rnacentral:SRP_RNA from 1 species
UUCAGGACUGGCUGCAAAGUCCUCCUCUGAGACAGGAGGAUUGCUUGAGUCCAGGAGUUCUGGGUUGUAUUGCGCUAUGCCGACCAUAUAGCCGACCAAGAUGUCUGCACUAAGUUUGGCAUCAAUAUGGUGACCUCCCAGGAGUAGGGGACCACCCGGUUGCCUAAGGAGGGAUGCACCGGCCCAGGUUGGAAUUGGAACAGGUAAAAACUCCCGUGAUCAUCAGUAUAGCUGGAUCUUGAGGAAGCACUAUUCCUAAUUGUCUGAGAAAGCACCAGAUUGAUUACCAAAGUGGUU